rnacentral:rRNA from 1 species
UCGUGCCAGCCACCGCGGUCAUACGAUUAACCCAAGUUAAUAGGCACACGGCGUAAAGCGUGUUAAAGCAUUCUAUAAAUAAGGUUCAAUCCUAAUUAAGCUGUAAAAAGCCAUAAUUACAAUGAAAAUAGAUAACGAAAGUAACUUUAAAAUAGCUGAAACACGAUAGCUAAGACCCAAACUGGGAUUAGAUACCCCACUAUGCUUAGCCCUAAACACAAGUAAUUAAUAUAACAAAAUUAUUCGCCAGAGUACUACCGGCAAUAGCUUAAAA